GAGAGAGAAGCUUGCUUCUCUUGAGAGCGGCGGACGGGUGAGUAAUGCCUAGGAAUCUGCCUAGUGGUGGGGGAUAACGUUCGGAAACGGACGCUAAUACCGCAUACGUCCUACGGGAGAAAGCGGGGGACCUUCGGGCCUCGCGCCAUUAGAUGAGCCUAGGUCGGAUUAGCUAGUUGGUGAGGUAAAGGCUCACCAAGGCGACGAUCCGUAACUGGUCUGAGAGGAUGAUCAGUCACACUGGAACUGAGACACGGUCCAGACUCCUACGGGAGGCAGCAGUGGGGAAUAUUGGACAAUGGGCGAAAGCCUGAUCCAGCCAUGCCGCGUGUGUGAAGAAGGUCUUCGGAUUGUAAAGCACUUUAAGUUGGGAGGAAUU
rnacentral:rRNA from 1 species